UAGGGAAUCUUCCGCAAUGGGCGAAAGCUUGACGGAGCAACGCCGCGUGAGUGAUGAAGGUCUUCGGAUCGUAAAACUCUGUUAUUAGGGAAGAACAAAUGUGUAAGUAACUAUGCUCGUCUUGACGGUACCUAAUCAGAAAGCCACGGCUAACUACGUGCCAGCAGCCGCGGUAAUACGUAGGUGGCAAGCGUUAUCCGGAAUUAUUGGGCGUAAAGCGCGCGUAGGCGGUUUUUUAAGUCUGAUGUGAAAGCCCACGGCUCAACCGUGGAGGGUCAUUGGAAACUGGAAAACUUGAGUGCAGAAGAGGAAAGUGGAAUUCCAUGUGUAGCGGUGAAAUGCGCAGAGAUAUGGAGGAACACCAGUGGCGAAGGCGACUUUCUGGUCUGUAACUGACGCUGAUGUGCGAAAGCGUGGGGAUCAAACAGG
rnacentral:rRNA from 1 species